GACGAACGCUGGCGGCGUGCUUAACACAUGCAAGUCGAACGGUGAACCUCUUCGGAGGGGCUCAGUGGCGAACGGGUGAGUAACACGUUGGCAACCUGCCCCCGUCUCUGGGAUAACUCCAAGAAAUUGGGGCUAAUACCGGAUUUUCACCGCUUCCCGCAUGCGGGGUGGUGCAAAGGGUUUCCGGCUGGGGGUGGGCCCGCGGCCUAGCAGCUUGUUGGUGGGGUAGUGGCCUACGAAGGCCACGACGGGUAGCCGGCAUGAGAGGGUGACCGGCCACACGGGGACUGAGAGAGGGAGCAGAAUGCAACGGGGGGCAGCAGGGGAGAAUAUUACGCAAUGGGCGGAAGCCUGACACAGAGGCGCCGCGUGGGGGAUGACGGCCUUCGGGUUGUAAACAUAUUUCAGCGGAGACGAAGAGGAAGUGACGGUACCUGCAGAAGAAGCCCCGGCCAACUACGUG
rnacentral:rRNA from 1 species